rnacentral:lncRNA from 1 species
CCUGACUUGGGACAUGUUGAGUAAAGCUAAUUUGCCAGUCCUGGGUGGGGGCAAAUCCUCAAAAAUUGGUGAGAUGUUCCUUGGGCUGGUCGGUCUGAGGACCUGAGGUCGUAGGUGGAUCUUUCUCAUGGAGCAAAGAACAGGAGGACAGGGGAUUGCCCUCCCAAGGGAGGUCCCCCGAUCCGACUCAUGGCACCAAAUUUCAUGCAUGUCCGUGUGAAGAGACCAUCAAACAGGCUUUGUGUGAGCAAUAAAGCUUUUAAUCACCUGG